UACGUAGGGCGCAAGCGUUGUCCGGAAUUAUUGGGCGUAAAGAGCUCGUAGGCGGUCUGUCACGUCUGCUGUGAAAACCCGGGGCUUAACCCCGGGCUUGCAGUGGAUACGGGCAGACUAGAGGCAGGUAGGGGAGAAUGGAAUUCCCGGUGUAGCGGUGAAAUGCGCAGAUAUCGGGAGGAACACCGGUGGCGAAGGCGGUUCUCUGGGUAGUAACUGACGCUGAGGAACGAAAGUGUGGGUAGCGAACAGG
rnacentral:rRNA from 1 species